UAACAACUAAUGACGUGAUGAAGAAUUGUUCCUUGCGGAGGUGAAUGUCAUACAAUAAGAUCUACUCGGAGUAAAUGACAUAUGGAUACAUAACAAUCAAGAAGGUUUUAUUAAGCAGGAACCCGGAAUACUGUGACUCCGCCACUUCACUCGGCUUCCUCUACCUAAACAACGGAUUUAACAACUAAUGACGUGAUGAAGAAUUGUUCCUUGCGGAGGUGAAUGUCAUACAAUAAGAUCUACUCGGAGUAAAUGACAUAUGGAUACAUAACAAUCAAGAA